rnacentral:rRNA from 1 species
GACAGAGGGUGCAAACGUUGUUCGGAAUUACUGGGCGUAAAGCGCAUGUAGGCGGUCUAGCAGGUCGGAUGUGAAAGCCCUCGGCUCAACCGAGGAAGUGCAUUCGAAACCGCAAGACUCGAGUCCCGGAGAGGGUAGUGGAAUUCUCGGUGUAGAGGUGAAAUUCGUAGAUAUCGAGAGGAACACCGGUGGCGAAAGCGGCUACCUGGACGAGGACUGACGCUGAGAUGCG